rnacentral:miRNA from 1 species
AUCCUUCAAGUACCUGAUAACA